AAUAAGAUGCCUGAAAAUAGGGGUAUUUUGAUAAAAUACAGCAUACAUGAUGGGCAUGUUCUUGUU
rnacentral:tRNA from 1 species